rfam:Pseudobacteriovorax antillogorgiicola strain RKEM611 genome assembly, contig: Ga0139084_114
GGGGGUAUAGCUCAGUUGGUAGAGCACUGCGCUGGCAGCGCAGUUGUCAGCGGUUCGACUCCGCUUACCUCCA